rnacentral:rRNA from 1 species
GCCGAAUGAACUUCGCUAAUAUUUGUCUUCUAGUGAACCUGCGGAAGGAUCAUUAA